rnacentral:rRNA from 1 species
AACGAACGCUGGCGGCAGGCUUAACACAUGCAAGUCGAGCGAAGGCUUCGGUCUUAGCGGCGGACGGGUGAGUAACGCGUGGGAACGUACCCUUUACUACGGAAUAGCCUCUGGAAACGGAGAGUAAUACCGUAUGUGCCCUUUGGGGGAAAGAUUUAUCGGUAAAGGAUCGGCCCGCGUUAGAUUAGGUAGUUGGUGGGGUAAUGGCCUACCAAGCCUACGAUCUAUAGCUGGUUUGAGAGGAUGAUCAGCCACACUGGGACUGAGACACGGCCCAGACUCCUACGGGAGGCAGCAGUGGGGAAUCUUGGACAAUGGGGGCAACCCUGAUCCAGCCAUGCCGCGUGAGUGAUGAAGGCCUUAGGGUCGUAAAGCUCUUUCGCCAGGGAUGAUAAUGACAGUACCUGGUAAAGAAACCCCGGCUAACUCCGUGCCAGCAGCCGCGGUAA